UUGAAGGGAAAAUAAUGAAACAGAGGAAAAAAGAGAAUAACAAGUAAAAAGCAAUGCAUGUAAAUACAGAGCAAGCAAGUAGGAAAGCUAGGCAUAGCACAGCAAAAGGGAGCAAAGCAAAAGAAGGCAAAGAAUGACAAAAAGCAACCUUGCAGGAAUGGAGGAAUCUGUCCAGAGCUGUGCCCCUGCUUGCCACAGGAGCUGCGCGGGAGGAGAAGAACGUGGGCCAAAAGGAAUGGAGGGAUCUGUCCAGAGCUGUGCCCCUGCUUGCCACAGGAGCUGCGCGGGAGGAGAAGAACGUGGGCCAAAAGGUAAGAGGAGCUCCUUUGGGUUCUGGGCUUGAAGCAAAGCUGAGAAGCCAUGCCCGGGAGGAGGUGUGGGUAGCUACAGG
ensembl:lncRNA